UACAGAGGGUGCAAGCGUUAAUCGGAUUUGCUGGGCGUAAAGCGCGCGUAGGUGGCCAAUUAAGUCAAAUGUGAAAUCCCCGAGCUUAACUUGGGAAUUGCAUUCGAUACUGGUUGGCUAGAGUAUGGGAGAGGAUGGUAGAAUUCCAGGUGUAGCGGUGAAAUGCGUAGAGAUCUGGAGGAAUACCGAUGGCGAAGGCAGCCAUCUGGCCUAAUACUGACACUGAGGUGCGAAAGCAUGGGGAGCAAACAGG
rnacentral:rRNA from 1 species